rnacentral:rRNA from 1 species
UACGUAGGGUGCAAGCGUUGUCCGGAAUUAUUGGGCGUAAAGAGCUCGUAGGCGGUUUGUUGCGUCGGCUGUGAAAUCCCGAGGCUCAACCUCGGGUCUGCAGUCGAUACGAGCAAACUAGAGUGUUGCAGGGGAGACUGGAAUUCCUGGUGUAGCGGUGAAAUGCGCAGAUAUCAGGAGGAACACCGGUGGCGAAGGCGGGUCUCUGGGCAACAACUGACGCUGAGGAGCGAAAGCGUGGGGAGCGAGCAGG